rnacentral:rRNA from 1 species
CGCGAAGAACCUUACCAAGGCUUGACAUGUCGGAAGUAGCAACCUGAAAGGGGAGUCACCUGUUGAGUCAGGAGCCGACACAGGUGCUGCAUGGCUGUCGUCAGCUCGUGCCGUGAGGUGUUGGGUUAAGUCCCGCAACGAGCGCAACCCUCGUUGCCAGUUACUUUGUCUGGCGAGACUGCCCCGCAAAACGGGGAGGAAGGUGGGGAUGACGUCAAGUCGGCACGGCCCUUAUGCCUUGGGCUACACACACGCUGCAAUGGGUGGUACAAUGGGUAGCAAUGGAGCAAUCCGGAGCCAAUCCUAAAAGCCAUCCUCAGUUCGGAUUGCAGGCUGAAAUUCGCCUGCAUGAAGUCGGAGUUGCUAGUAACUGCAGGUCAGCAUACUGCGGUGAACGCGUUCUCGGGCCUUGUACACACCGCCCGUCACGUCAUGAGAGUCGGCAACACUUGAAGUCGAUGGGCUAACCCCAGUUUACUGGGGAGGCAGUCGCCGAGGGUGAGGCUGAUGAUUGGGACGAAGUCGUAACAAGGUAACCUUAAUUAAAA